rnacentral:rRNA from 1 species
AUUGAACGCUGGCGGCAGGCCUAACACAUGCAAGUCGAACGAGUGGCGGACGGGAGAGUAAUGUCUGGGAAACUGCCUGAGGGAGGGGGAUAACUACUGGAAACGGUAGCUAAUACCGCAUACCAUCAGAUGUGCCCAGAUGGGAUUAGCUAGUUGGUGGGGUAACGGCCCACCAAGGCGACGAUCCGUAGCUGGUCUGAGAGGAUGAACAGCCACACUGGAACUGAGACACGGUCCAGACUCCUACGGGAGGCAGCAGUGGGGAAUAUUGGACAAUGGGCGAAAGCCUGAUGCAGCCAUGCCGCGUGUAUGAAGAAGGCCUUCGGGUUGUAAAGUACUUUAAGCUGGGAGGCGUUACCCGCAGAAGAAGCACCGGCUAACUCCGUGCCAGCAGCCGCGGUAAUUC